GCUCUUAUAGCUCAGUUGGUAGAGCGCAUCCUUGGUAAGGAUGAGGUCACCGGUUCAACUCCGGUUAAGAGCU
rnacentral:tRNA from 1 species